rnacentral:rRNA from 1 species
CAACUAAGGCCCCUAAAUGACCGCUCAGUGAUAAAGGAAGUGGGGGUGCAAAGACCUCAAGGAGGUUUGCCUAGAAGCAGCCACCCUUUAAAGAGUGCGUAAUAGCUCACUGGUCCCUAAUCGAGCGCCCUUGCGCUGAAGAUGAAUGGGGCUAAGUGAUCUGCCGAAGCUG